CUUCACUGAAGCUGUUUAACAGGCUUAGAAGUUCUCUGGUGGAAUUUUUAGGGUCAUGUAUAUAUACUAUCAUAUCAUCUGCAAAAAGUGAUAAUUUGACUUCUUCCUUUCCAAUUUGUAUCCCCUUGAUCUCCUUUUGUUGUCUAAUUGCUCUGGCUAGGACUUCAAGUACAAUGUUGAAUGGGUAGGGAGAGAGUGGACAGCCUUGUCUAGUCCCUGAUUUUAGUGGGAUUGCUUCAAGCUUCUCACCAUUUACUUUGAUGCUGGCUACUGGUUUGCUGUAGAUUGCUUUUAUCAUGUUUAGGUAUGGGCCUUGAAUUCCUGAUCUUUCCAAGACUUUUAUCAUGAAUGGGUGUUGGAUUUUGUCAAAUGCUUUCUCAGCAUCUAACGAGAUGAUCAUGUGGUUUUUGUCUUUGAGUUUGUUUAUAUACUGGAUUACAUUGAUGGAUUUCUGUAUAUUGAACCAUCCCUGCAUCCCUGGGAUGAAACCUACUUGGUCAGGAUGGAAGAUUGUUUUGAUGUGUUCUUGGAUUCGGUUAGCAAGAACUUUAUUGAGGAUUUUUGCACCAAUAUUCAGAAGGGAUAUUGGUCUGAAGUUCUCUAUCUUUGUGGGGUCUUUUUGUGGUUUAGGUAUCAGAGUAAUUGUGGCUUCAUAGAAUGAGUUGGGUAGAGUACCUUCUGUUUCUAUUUUGUGGAAUAGUUUGUGAAGAACUGGGAUUAGAUCUUCUUUGGAGGUCUGAUAGAACUCUGCACUAAACCCAUCUGGUCCUGGGCUUUUUUUGGUUGGGAGACUAUUAAUGACUGCUUCUAUUUCUUUGGGGGAUAUCGGGCUGUUUAGAUCAUUAACCUGAUCUUGAUUCAACUUUGGUACCUGGUAUCUGUCUAGAAACUUCUCCAUUUCAUCCAGGUUCUCCAGUUUUGUUGAGUAUAGCCUUUUGUAGAAGGAUCUGAUGGUGUUUUGGAUUUCUUCAGGAUCUGUUGUUAUGUCUCCCUUUUCAUUUCUGAUUUUGUUAAUUAGGAUGCUUUCCCUGUGCCCUCUAGUGAGUCUGGCUAAGGGUUUAUCUAUCUUGUUGAUUUUCUCAAAGAACCAGCUCCUUGAUUGGUUGAUUCUUUGAAUAGUUCUUUUUGUUUCCACUUGGUUGAUUUCACCCCUGAGUUUGAUUAUUUCCUGCCUUCUGCUCCUCUUGGGUGAAUUUGCUUCCUUUUGUUCUAGAGCUUUCAGGUGUGUUGUCAAGCUGCUAAUGUGUUGUCUUAGUCAGGGUUUCUAUUCCUGCACAAACAUCAUGACCAAG
rnacentral:lncRNA from 1 species